AUGUUUCUUGAUAAUGAAGGCAUUUCCAAUUUUAACUUUGAUACCUUCAUAAUCUCCAAUAUCACUGAGACAGAUAGCAUACCACUACAAAACAAAAAAAGAAAGAAAACAAGUAUGAUCUCUCCACUUCUGUCCAGUGGCCUUCUCAGGAUGACAACACUCUCAUCCCAAUGGUCUCUUCUUCUGGCAAAUAGGUUUUGCUGCGGUUAUCUCACACAUGAGAAACUGAGUAUAAUCCAUUGGAGGAAAAAAUGGUCAUUCAAUGAAAGACUUUCAAACGUUUCUGAUGAAAAGACCAGAGCUGAAUAGAAAACUUAUUCUCAAAUGCAAGACUCGAGAAAAGUAUAAAAAGGUAAACAAGGAAAAGAAAUCAUAAAAGAUUCAGUAAGAUUAAACUGUUUACAUCUCUACAUGGGAAGGUGCUACUUAUAAAUCUUAAGAUCUUUAUCAUUAUUAAAGCAGUUAGAAGGAGUAUAAAUAGAAAGCAAGAGUGUAUGAGAGAAUGUGGGAGACAAAGGAAGUAGGGAGGGGAGCACUUGAACCUUACUUACUCUCAUUAGAACUGGCUCAAAGAAGGAAGAAUAUGCGUACUCAAUUGGGUACAGAAAUUGAUCUUAACCCAUAGGAGAGUAGGAGGGGAAAGGGAUAAGAAAGGGGAUGGGGGAGGUUGAUAGAAGAGAGGGCAAAUGGGGGUAGGCAGUGGUCAGAAGCAAAACACAUCUGAGGAUAGACAGAAUGAAAGGAGAGAGAGUAAGAUAAAACAAAGAGAAAAACACGUUGGAGGGUAAUACCCAGUAAUCAUAAUGUUGAAAAAAAUUUUUCACAAGUCUACUAAAGGUCUUAU